rnacentral:lncRNA from 1 species
UCUCGGUGGCCAGGUCGCCGGCAUCUUUCCCCUCGCUGAGAUACUACCAGGCACAGUUCUGCCCUGCAGGACUCCGUGUCUCAGGAGCCUGUACGUCUCCAGAAGUAGGAAGAAAAAAUGACCACAUUCAAGGUGCAUACGGCUUGCCUUUCUUGCUGAUAAAAUCCAUCUCACUGCUCAGAAUGCCAUGUGUUUUUUUUCUUUCUUGGGGUGACUCAAAGAGAACACGAGGCAUUUAAAGACCUGUUUACCUUGUAUUUGUUUUUAGUGUUUGUUUUAUUGUCAUUAUUUAUUUUACUUCAAAAAUAAGUGUGGACAAAUUAAUAGGAAUGACCAUGACCAAUCCCCCACUUUAUUACUUCACUGCUGACACAUUAAUUAUUUAAUUAAUUUAUUUAUUUGUUUGAUGCUCCAAUUACCCAACUCAGGUCAGUGGGAGCCCUUUCUCUUUUUUUCUUUCUUUCUUUCUUUUUUUUUUGAGGAAGAUUGGCCCUGAGCUAACAUCUGCCGCCAUUCCUCUUUUUUGCUGAGGAAGAUUGGCCCUGGGCUAACAUCUGUGCCCAUCUUCCUCUAUUUUAUAUGUGGGACGCCUGCCACAGCAUGGCUUGAUAAGCGGUGCAUAGAUCUGCACCCAGGAUCCGAACCAGCAAACCCUGGGCCACUGAAGCAGAGUGUGUGAACUUAACCACUACACCACUGGGCCAGCGCCUACAUUAACUAUUUUUGUUUUCUCAUACUCUUUUUCUCUUGUGCAUGUAUAGCUUUAUUAAUAUUUAUGAUAUACAUCUAAUAUUAAAUUGGGUUUUUUCAUUUAAUAUUAUGUAACAGUUUUUGUUUAUAGUUACAUCAUACUCUUAUUAAAUUGAUAUGCUUUUUUAUUUUUAACUACUUGCCACUCACAGACUUGAAGGUGGUUUAGGAGUUCUGUUGUUUUAAUCAAUAACGCAGUGACAGUUUUCUUACCUGCGGCCUUUUUCUCCAAAAAAAUCGCUUCUCCAAACAAUCUGCCUAGUUUUUGUCCUCAAUGUACUAGAGGCUCAAUACUGGAAAAGUAGAUUUGAUACGUGGCACACUGGAGUUUUGUGGGUAGAAUAUUUAAAUACAGCACAGCACAGUUGACUGUUAAAUGCUGCUUUACACAAAUAUUAUUGGAGAUUUUCACACAGGAAGAGCUAGAUUCUGUCUUUCCUGUGUCUGAGUCAUACCCUACAUGUCUUUUACUGAUCUGCUUUUAUUCCU